AGGACGAACGCUGGCGGCGUGCUUAACACAUGCAAGUCGAGCGGAAAGGCCACUUCGGUGGUACUCGAGCGGCGAACGGGUGAGUAACACGUGAGUAAUCUGCCCUCCACUUUGGGAUAGCCACCGGAAACGGUGAUUAAUACCGGAUAUGACGUUCCUUCGCAUGAAGGGGUGUGGUAAAGUUUUUCGGGUGGGGAUGUGCUCGCGGCCUAUCAGCUUGAUGGUGGGUAAUGGCCUACCAUGGCUUCGACGGUAGCCGGCCUGAGAGGGUGACCGGCCACGACUGGGACUGAGACACGGCCCAGACUCCGAGGGACGCGAGCAGGUGGGAAUAGUUAGGAAC
rnacentral:rRNA from 1 species